AUUGAACGCUGGCGGCAUGCCUUACACAUGCAAGUCGAAUGGCAGCAUGGGUGCUUGCACCUGAUGGCGAGUGGCGAACGGGUGAGUAAUGCAUCGGAACGUACCCGGAAGUGGGGGAUAACGCAGCGAAAGUUACGCUAAUACCGCAUAUUCUGUGAGCAGGAAAGAGGGGGAUCGCAAGACCUCUCGCUUUCGGAGCGGCCGAUGUCGGAUUAGCUAGUUGGCGGGGUAAAGGCCCACCAAGGCAACGAUCCGUAGCGGGUCUGAGAGGAUGAUCCGCCACACUGGGACUGAGACACGGCCCAGACUCCUACGGGAGGCAGCAGUGGGGAAUUUUGGACAAUGGGGGCAACCCUGAUCCAGCCAUGCCGCGUGAGUGAAGAAGGCCUUCGGGUUGUAAAGCUCUUUCGGCUGGGAAGAAAUCGCAUCUCCUAAUACGGGGUGUGGAUGACGGUACCAGCAUAAGAAGCACCGGCUAACUACGUGCCAGCAGCCGCGGUAA
rnacentral:rRNA from 1 species